AAGGUCUGUCCAUCUGUCUGUCUCAUACAUGCCAACUUUCCCGAUUUCUGCGGGAUUUUCCCGAUUUGAAGCAACUGAAAAGGCAAAUCCCGAUAUCCGGAUCGGGAUUGCAAAAAUACCCCGAAAUCCCGAUUUUCUAAAAAUAUCUCCCAUUUUACGACAACAAACCCCCAUUUGCAACCAGAAUUGGAAAUCCCGCGUCAUUUCUGAACUGGCCAAUCAGAAAUCGGGACAAUAGUCAGCCAUUGCUGUUUACCUGUGUCGCAUGGUGUCGGGUUGGUCUGCCUGUGUCGGGGUGUUUAUUGGACAGUACGAAGCAUGUUUUGAUAGUAAUUAAUCGGGAAGACGGAUUUCAAAUUGACAUAUCCUUUACACAAACGUGAAUGACAACGAUGAUAGUGUCACCACCAAACUGUACAAUCGGACAUUCCGCAUCUCGCUGUCUCGCUGACAGCAUCCAAAAUUUGCAAUAAGAUGUCAUGGGUGCAAAGGUUUUGUUCGCAAACUUCAUAGCAGGGCAGAUCACUCCUUUUCUGGUUGCAAUGCAGAUUAUUCCACCAGUCUCUGCAAGCCCAUGUUUACAGACAAGCAAGAUCGCCUUUGCAGUCGUACCUAAAUGCACGUGCUUUAAUUUAAAUUUUGAUAUAUAGACCGUCCAAUGUUUAUUGUAUGGUGUAAAAUGAUGCAACCUUAAAUAUUAUUUGAUAAUAUGUAUGUGACUUGUUGGAGAAGAUUUUUUGUUGAAUAGAUGAUUUUAAUAAAAUAUUUAUGUAUAUCUU